GAAGUUGGUGGUGAACUGCGACGGGGUUGGCGGGAGGAUGUGCAACCACUCUAUUGUCAUCCUUUGUGAGGAAAGGACCUGACCUUCCCAGGAGGCGAGAGAGAACUCAAUAGAGAUUCCUGAAUCGCAUCAGGCAGCGCCCUCUGCUGGGCGCAUUGAGCACACAUACAGAAAUGUGGAAUUAGAGAAUCUGUUGGAGUUCUUAUCGCCCAGCAACACUGCCUGGCAGACGAGCACAGAGCCGAUUGGAUGGAAGCGUACCGGAGAAGGUGAGUCGUGAAAUGGCAGCCAGCGUGAUAUGACAGCUAGCC